UACGAAGGGGGCUAGCGUUGCUCGGAAUCACUGGGCGUAAAGGGUGCGUAGGCGGGUCUUUAAGUCAGGGGUGAAAUCCUGGAGCUCAACUCCAGAACUGCCUUUGAUACUGAAGAUCUUGAGUUCGGGAGAGGUGAGUGGAACUGCGAGUGUAGAGGUGAAAUUCGUAGAUAUUAGGAAGAACACCAGUGGCGAAGGCGGCUCACUGGCUCGGUACUGACGCUGAGGCGCGAAAGCGUGGGGAGCAAACAGG
rnacentral:rRNA from 1 species